rnacentral:snRNA from 1 species
GCAAUGCCAAAUCUUGAUCA